AGUGAACGCUGGCGGUAGGCCUAACACAUGCAAGUCGAACGGCAGCACAGGAGAGCUUGCUCUCUGGGUGGCGAGUGGCGGACGGGUGAGGAAUACAUCGGAAUCUACUUUUUCGUGGGGGAUAACGUAGUGAAACUUACGCUAAUACCGCCUACGACCUACGGGUGAAAGCAGGGGACCUUCGGGCCUUGCGCGAUUGAAUGAGCCGAGGUCGGAUGAGCUAGUUGGUGGGGUAAAGGCCUACCAAGGCGACGAUCCGUAGCUGGUCUGAGAGGAUGAUCAGCCACACUGGAACUGAGACACGGUCCAGACUACUACGGGAGGCAGCAGUGGGGAAUAUUGGACAAUGGGCGCAAGCCUGAUCCAGCCAUACCGCGUGGGUGAAGAAGGCCUUCGGGUUGUAAAGCCCUUUUGUUGGGAAAGAAAUCCAGCUGGCUAAUACCCGGUUGGGAUGACGGUACCCAAAGAAUAAGCACCGGCUAACUUCGUGCCAGCAGCCGCGGUAA
rnacentral:rRNA from 1 species